rnacentral:rRNA from 1 species
CAGCAGCCACGGGAAUACGAAGGGUGCAAACGUUGCUCGGAAUUAUUGGGCGUAAAGCGCACGUAGGCGGCUCCGCAAGUCGGAUGUGAAAUCCCUCGGCUUAACCAAGGAAGUGCAUCCGAAACUGUAGGGCUUGAGGAUGGGAGAGGUGAGUGGAAUUUCCGGUGUAGCGGUGAAAUGCGUAGAUAACGGAAGGAACACCUGUGGCGAAAGCGGCUCACUGGACCAUUACUGACGCUGAUGCACGAAAGCUAGGGGAGCAAACAGGAUUAGAUACCCCAGUAGUCCCUGUCUCUUAUAC